CAACUUUACUGUUAAAAAAUUAACAAUAAUCUAACGGAUCCUAACCAAAGGGACAUAUCCGAAUACAUUAGGAUUUUUACAGGAAUAACUUAUAAAAGCUGAGCUUUGCAUAGAUAUAUCUGUAAUUCAUCAUGUUUACAGGAACGUGUAUGCAAUUAAUCCUAUUUUUAAUGCAAAAAUGUUUUAUAUAUUAUAAAAUAUUUAAUUUUUUAAUUUUUAUCUGUAACUCGAUCCGAUUCGCCGGUUCGAAUCGAAGAAACAAGGGUU
rnacentral:lncRNA from 1 species